rnacentral:rRNA from 1 species
GUAAACGGCCAUAGUGGCUUGGAAAUACCCGAACCCAUUCCGAACUCGGCAGUCAAGCAAGCCAACGUUUUGUGUGGUACUGAUUUUUAAUCGGAAAGCACGAGAAGCUGUUUACA